UGCCUAACACAUGCAAGUCGAGCGAAGCGAUUUAGCGGAAGUUUUCGGAUGGAAGUUAAAUUGACUGAGCGGCGGACGGGUGAGUAACGCGUGGGUAACCUGCCUCAUACAGGGGGAUAACAGUUAGAAAUGACUGCUAAUACCGCAUAAGCGCACAGCAUCGCAUGAUGCAGUGUGAAAAACUCCGGUGGUAUGAGAUGGACCCGCGUCUGAUUAGCUAGUUGGUGGGGUAACGGCCUACCAAGGCGACGAUCAGUAGCCGACCUGAGAGGGUGACCGGCCACAUUGGGACUGAGACACGGCCCAAACUCCUACGGGAGGCAGCAGUGGGGAAUAUUGCACAAUGGGGGAAACCCUGAUGCAGCGACGCCGCGUGAGCGAUGAAGUAUUUCGGUAUGUAAAGCUCUAUCAGCAGGGAAGAAAAUGACGGUACCUGACUAAGAAGCCCCGGCUAACUACGUGCCAGCAGCCGCGGUAAUACGUAGGGGGCGAGCGUUAUCCGGAUUUACUGGGUGUAAAGGGAGCGUAGACGGCAUGGCAAGCCAGAUGUGAAAGCCCGGGGCUCAACCCCGGGACUGCAUUUGGAACUGUCAGGCUAGAGUGUCGGAGAGGAAAGCGGAAUUCCUAGUGUAGCGGUGAAAUGCGUAGAUAUUAGGAGGAACACCAGUGGCGAAGGCGGCUUUCUGGACGAUGACUGACGUUGAGGCUCNGAAAGCGUGGGGAGCAAACAGGAUUAGAUACCCUGGUAGUCCACGCCGUANACGAUGAAUACUAGGUGUCGGGUGGCAAAGCCAUUCGGUGCCGCAGCAAACGCAAUAAGUAUUCCACCUGGGGAGUACGUUCGCAAGAAUGAAACUCAAAAGGAAUUGACGGGGGACCCG
rnacentral:rRNA from 1 species